CCUACGGGAGGCAGCAGUGAGGAAUAUUGGUCAAUGGACGAGAGUCUGAACCAGCCAAGUAGCGUGAAGGAUGACGGUCCUAUGGGUUGUAAACCUCUUUUAUAAAGGAACAAAACGAGCCACGCGUGCCUUUCUGCAUGUACUUUAUGAAUAAGGAUCGGCUAACUCCGUGCCAGCAGCCGCGGUAAUACGGAGGAUGCGAGCGUUAUCCGGAUUUAUUGGGUUUAAAGGGAGCGUAGAUGGGUUGUUAAGUCAGUUGUGAAAGUUUGCGGCUCAACCGUAAAAUUGCAGUUGAUACUGGCAGUCUUGAGUACAGUUGAGGUAGGCGGAAUUCGUGGUGUAGCGGUGAAAUGCUUAGAUAUCACGAAGAACCCCGAUUGCGAAGGCAGCUUACUAAACUGUGACUGACAUUGAUGCUCGAAAGUGUGGGUAUCAAACAGGAUUAGAUACCCCUGUAGUC
rnacentral:rRNA from 1 species